CAGUAGCGCGGUAAUACGUAGGUGGCAAGCGUUGUCCGGAAUUAUUGGGCGUAAAGGGCUCGCAGGCGGUUUCUUAAGUCUGAUGUGAAAGCCCCCGGCUCAACCGGGGAGGGUCAUUGGAAACUGGGAAACUUGAGUGCAGAAGAGGAGAGUGGAAUUCCACGUGUAGCGGUGAAAUGCGUAGAGAUGUGGAGGAACACCAGUGGCGAAGGCGACUCUCUGGUCUGUAACUGACGCUGAGGAGCGAAAGCGUGGGGAGCGAACAGGAUUAGAUACCCCCGUAGUCCCUGUCUCUUAUACA
rnacentral:rRNA from 1 species